ensembl:lncRNA
GCGGGAGAGGGCGCUGCCCCGCCGCCCGAGUCGCUGGGCGCCGCGUUUCGCUGACUCUGCCAAACACGCCAUUAGGGCCCGCCCGGGAGGGCGUUAUCCUAAUGGAGCGGCUCUAAGUCACCUUUGAAAGGAAAUCCCCGGCCCGAGUCCUGACCUGCGCCAAGGCCUCGGUGGGCAGUCCGCAGAGGCCAUUCCAGACCUCCCUCCCUGCUCCCCUGGCCUCUGACCCCAUGCGCUUGAAGCGCAGGUCCUGGCCUCCACGGCUCUUCUCACUUUGGCUGGGUGCUGCUUCAUCCCGGUCAGCUGGGAUGGGGCGUCCCCAGAGCGCCCGGAACAGGCCUCCAGAGAGAAGCCACCGGCCAAUAUAGAAAUCGCACAGCGCUGCCAACAUUGGGCGUCUGUUCGGGACAAGCAAGACAGCAAGGGGCUCCAGGUUGAAUGAGUGCAUUCCUGCUACUUAUAAACGACUACUGUAAAACAGUCUGUCAUGUGAUGCCUGCAGCAGUCUCACAUAUCUCCAGUUUAGAACAGUUUUUCAGGAGCCCUCAGCUGUCAUACCUCUUUUUACAACUCCUGAGUUGCCCAGAAGGAUGCUUCUCUCUUAUCCACAGAUAUAGUGGGACAGUCUUAUAUGUAAGGCUUUCAGGAGGGAUUUGCAGACAGAACAGCCUCUUCUCUGUGGAUGCAAUGAGGAAGGGGAAACUGGGAAUGGGGUAAAAUGGAGAAAGCAACAGACCAUGCCCAGGAGCAGAGGCACAUGCCUAUAAUCCUAGCACUCUUGGAAGCUGAGACAGGAGGACAGAAAGUUUGAGCCCAGCUUGGGAAGCUUAGCAAGACUUUGUAAUAAAAUAAUAAAAUAGGGCUGGGGAUGUAGAUCAGUGCAAAGAUUCUGG